GACGAACGCUGGCGGCAUGCCUAAUACAUGCAAGUCGAACGAAGCUUUUUUAACUGGUGCUUGCACCGACUUAAACAACUGAGUGGCGAACGGGUGAGUAACACGUGGGUAACCUGCCCCAAAGCGGGGGAUAACAUUUGGAAACAGAUGCUAAUACCGCAUAACCACAGAAACCACAUGGUUUCUGUGUCAAAGAUGGUUUCGGCUAUCACUUUGGGAUGGACCCGCGGCGUAUUAGCUAGUUGGUAAGGUAAUGGCUUACCAAGGCAAUGAUACGUAGCCGAACUGAGAGGUUGAUCGGCCACAUUGGGACUGAGACACGGCCCAAACUCCUACGGGAGGCAGCAGUAGGGAAUCUUCCAUAAUGGACGAAAGUCUGAUGGAGCAACGCCGCGUGAGUGAAGAAGGUUUUCGGAUCGUAAAACUCUGUUGUCAGAGAAGAACGUGUGCGAGAGUAACUGUUCGUGCAGUGACGGUAUCUGGCCAGAAAGCCACGGCUAACUACGUGCCAGCCGCCGCCGUAA
rnacentral:rRNA from 1 species